CACUAUGAAGCUAAUUACAGCGUUAACCUUUUAAGUUAAAGACUAGGAACUUAAUCUCCUCAUAGUGA
rnacentral:tRNA from 1 species